rnacentral:rRNA from 1 species
UACGUAGGGUGCGAGCGUUGUCCGGAAUUAUUGGGCGUAAAGAGCUCGUAGGCGGUGUGUCGCGUCGGCCGUGAAAACCUGCAGCUUAACUGUGGGCGUGCGGUCGAUACGGGCAUCACUGGAGUUCGGCAGGGGAGACUGGAAUUCCUGGUGUAGCGGUGAAAUGCGCAGAUAUCAGGAGGAACACCGGUGGCGAAGGCGGGUCUCUGGGCCGUAACUGACGCUGAGGAGCGAAAGCGUGGGGAGCGAACAGG